GCAUAAUGGCAUGCACGUUUUGAGCUUACUUGCGAUGGUGGAAGGCUAUGUCAACGGGCAUCAGACGUUUUGCGCAGUCAGCGGCGGCUGGGCUUGUGCGCUGUGCGGCGCAGUCAGCUGCUGCUGUUUCCUGGCUGCUGGCUUGGUCGAGCAGGUGCAGCGAGGCGGGUGUUUGACUGCGUCGUGCAUUGACCGGAAAUGUAGGGCGCGUUGCGCUCUGUUGCACGGUGUUUUGUGGGGUGCUGUGACUUGGAUCACCCGCGCACACGCCCUUGGGUUGCAUGGACCGCGCACCUUGACGCACAAGCCUUGCUGCACGUUGCUGCCGAGUUCACCGGUAGCGAUGCUUCCGCCGGCAAAGCCUGUUUGAAUGCAAAGCUGCAACACUGGCUGUGUGCUGAGGUGAAAACUGGGGAGGAGGCGGUGCUGCGUGCUGAGUGUGGACGUACGCGCGCGUGGUGGUGUGAGUGGAG
rnacentral:lncRNA from 1 species